rnacentral:rRNA from 1 species
CCCUUAGAUGUCCGGGGCUGCACGCGCGCUACACUGAAGGAAUCAGCGUGCUAAAACCAUUGUCGAAAGGCAUUGGUAAACCCAUUAAAAUCCUACGUGAUUGGGAUCGGGAAUUGCAAUUAUUUCCCUUGAACGAGGAAUUCCCAGUAAGUGUGGGUCAUAAGCUCGCGUUGAUUACGUCUCUGCCCUUUGUACACACCGCCCGUCGCUGCCCGGGACUGAGCCGUUUCGAGAAAAGCGGGGACUGCUGCUGUCGGGGCUUUCGGGCCUUGGCUUCGGUGGAAACCGCUUUAAUCGCAGUGGCUUGAACCGGGCAAAANUCGUANCA